GGGCUGCUAGCUCAAUGGUAGAGCAGCUGACUCUUAAUCAGUAGGUUCGGGGUUCGAGUCCCUGGCAGCCCA
rnacentral:tRNA from 1 species